rnacentral:rRNA from 1 species
GAUGAACGCUAGCGGGAGGCUUAACACAUGCAAGUCGAGGGGCAGCACGAGGUAGCAAUACUUUGGUGGCGACCGGCGCACGGGUGAGUAACGCGUAUGCAACCUGGCCUGUACCGGGGGAUAGCCCGGAGAAAUUCGGAUUAAUACCCCAUAAUGAUAUGAGGAGGCAUCUUUUCAUAUUUAAAGCUUCGGCGGUACGGGAUGGGCAUGCGUGACAUUAGCUAGUUGGCAGGGUAACGGCCUACCAAGGCUGCGAUGUCUAGGGGUCCUGAGAGGGUGAUCCCCCACACUGGUACUGAGACACGGACCAGACUCCUACGGGAGGCAGCAGUGAGGAAUAUUGGGCAAUGGGCGCAAGCCUGACCCAGCCAUGCCGCGUGAAGGAUGAAUGCCCUACGGGUUGUAAACUUCUUUUGUACGGGACGAAACUCUUGGUCGUGACCGAGAUUGACGGUACCGUGCGAAUAAGCAUCGGCUAACUCCGUGCCAGCAGCCGCAGUAACAC